AAGUCGUAACAAGGUUUCCGUAGGUGAACCUGCGGAAGGAUCAUUACAGUGUUUUCUACCCUGAAAAGGGUUAGAACUCCACCCUUGCAUACUACAGUUUGUUGCUUUGGCGGGCCACGAGGCCUAGCCACGCCCCGGCUUCGGCGGGGGAGUGCCCGCCAGAGGACCCCAAACCCUGAAUGUUAGUGUCGUCUGAGUACUAUAUAAUAGUUAAAACUUUCAACAACGGAUCUCUUGGUUCUGGCAUCGAUGAAGAACGCAGCGAAAUGCGAUAAGUAAUGUGAAUUGCAGAAUUCAGUGAAUCAUCGAAUCUUUGAACGCACAUUGCGCCCCUUGAUAUUCCGAGGGGCAUGCCUGUUCGAGCGUCAUAAUAGCCAAUCCAGCUCGCUGGGUCUUGGGCACCGCCGGAAGGCGGGCCUCAAACACAGUGGCGGUACGGCCGGGCUCUAAGCGUAGUAAAUUAUCUCGCUAUAGGGUCCCGGGCGGCACCUGCCAGCAACCCCCCCCCCCCCAUUUAUCAGGUUGACCUCGGAUCAGGUAGGGAUACCCGCUGAACUUAAGCAUAUCAAUAAGCGGAGGAAAAGAAACCAACAGGGAUUACCUCAGUAACGGCGAGUGAAGCGGUAACAGCUCAAAUUUGAAAUCUGGCUCUUUUAGGGUCCGAGUUGUAAUUUGUAGAAGAUGCUUUGGGUGUGGCUCCGGUCUAAGUUCCUUGGAACAGGACGUCAUAGAGGGUGAGAAUCCCGUAUGUGAUCGGUUGCUUUCGCCCGUGUAAAGCUCUUUCGACGAGUCGAGUUGUUUGGGAAUGCAGCUCAAAAUGGGUGGUAUAUUUCAUCUAAAGCUAAAUAUUGGCCAGAGACCGAUAGCGCACAAGUAGAGUGAUCGAAAGAUGAAAAGCACUUUGGAAAGAGAGUUAAACAGUACGUGAAAUUGUUGAAAGGGAAGCGCUUGCAACCAGACUCGCGCGCCGUCGAUCAUCCGGGGUUCUCCCCGGUGCACUCGGCGGCGCUCGGGCCAGCAUCAGUUUCGGUGGUGGGAUAAAGGCCUUGGGAAUGUAGCUUCUUUCGGGGAGUGUUAUAGCCCUCGGUGCAAUGCCGCCUACCGGGACUGAGGACCGCGCUUCGGCUAGGAUGCUGGCGUAAUAGUUGUAAGCGACC
rnacentral:rRNA from 1 species